UACGGGGGGGGCAAGCGUUGUUCGGAAUUACUGGGCGUAAAGGGCGCGUAGGCGGUUCGCUAAGUCGGAUGUGAAAACUCUGGGCUCAACCGAGAGCCUGCAUCCGAAACUGGCGGGCUAGAGUUCUGGAGGGGAUAGCGGAAUUCCUGGUGUAGCGGUGAAAUGCGUAGAUAUCAGGAGGAACACCGGUGGCGAAGGCGGCUAUCUGGACAGAAACUGACGCUGAGGUGCGAAAGCGUGGGGAGCAAACAGG
rnacentral:misc_RNA from 1 species